GGCUUUACUUCAAUCCUUGGGAUAUGCCCAGUCGGUUCCUUGGCUUGUGAUUGAGGAUUUCAAUGAGAUUACAAGUUCUUUUGAAAAGAGGGGGCCGACUUCGGUUUGAACAACAAAUGACUGCUUUUAGGACUGUUUUGGAGGAUUGUUCUCUUUAUGAUUUGGGUUUUACUGGUCGGUGGUUCACAUGGGAAAGGGGACGUUCCUUAUCUACCAACAUUCGGGAAAGACUUGAUAAGGGUGUUGCAAAUUUGGAUUGGACGAACCUUUUUCCAGGAUAUUCGAUAGAGCAUUUGAGCCAUUAGAUAUCAGAUCACUACCCCAUCCUACUGGACACUAUUGGAAAGUUGCAGCUUGGGAGCAAUUCUGCGUCUAGACUUUUUCGGUUCGAAGCUAAGUGGUGCUUGGACUAGUCUUUUGAAGAGAUUGUUCGACAGGCUUGGGCUGUUCAUUAUAUUAGCCUCCCGUCUAAAUUGACAGCUGUGGGCUAACAUUUUCAAAAGUGGAGUCGGUCAAAUGCCCAUAAGCAAAGAUAUCAUCGGUUACAUCUGGAAAGAAAGCUGGCUGAUCUCAUUAAUCAGGAUCCAUCCGACGCGGUCCUGAUUGAAAUUAUGGAGGUGUAAAUUGGUUUGAAUCUUGAGGCAGAUAAAGAGGAGGUAUUCUGGGAGCAACGUACCCGUGCUAACUGGUUGCAAAAUGAUGAUGGAAUACGAGCUUUUUCCACAAAGUUGCUGUGACUCGUCAUAGUCAUAGUCGGAUUCUUGGUUUGGAAAAUGAGUCUGGUCAGUGGGUUUCUAAUCUUGAGGAAAUGAUGAAGGUUGCUUUGAAGCAUUUUGGAGGUCUUUUUACGGCUUCUAAAUCGAGGGGUGAUGACAGAGUGUUUGGCCUUGUUGAGCAAAAGAUCACACCAAACAUGAAUGCAGAUCUGCUAAAGCCUUUUACAAAAGACGAAAUCUGGUUUGCAAUAAAAUCGAUGGCACCUUUGAAGGCUUCAAGGGUUGAUGGUUUUCCAGCCCUGUUUUAUUAACGAUA
rnacentral:lncRNA from 1 species